rnacentral:rRNA from 1 species
UACGUAGGGUGCAAGCGUUAAUCGGAAUUACUGGGCGUAAAGCGUGCGCAGGCGGUGAUGUAAGACAGAUGUGAAAUCCCCGGGCUCAACCUGGGAACUGCAUUUGUGACUGCAUCGCUGGAGUACGGACAGAGGGGGAUGGAAUUCCGCGUGUAGCAGUGAAAUGCGUAGAUAUGCGGAGGAACACCGAUGGCGAAGGCAAUCCCCUGGGCCUGUACUGACGCUCAUGCGACGAAGCGUGGGGAGCAAACAGG